UACGUAGGGGCGAGCGUUAUCCGGAAUUAUUGGGCGUAAAGAGUGCGUAGGUGGUUACCUAAGCGCAAGGUUUAAUCUUGAGGCUCAACCUCAUUCUGCCUUGCGAACUGGGCUACUUGAGUGCUGGAGGGGAAAGCGGAAUUCCCAGUGUAGCGGUGAAAUGCGUAGAUAUUGGGAAGAACACCGGUGGCGAAGGCGGCUUUCUGGACAGUAACUGACACUGAGGCACGAAAGCGGUGGGGAGCAAACAGGAUUAGAUACCCGCGUAGUCCCUGA
rnacentral:rRNA from 1 species